AGGACGAACGCUGGCGGCGUGCUUAACACAUGCAAGUCGAACGGAAAGGCCCUUCGGGGUACUCGAGUGGCGAACGGGUGAGUAACACGUGGGUGAUCUGCCCUGCACUUUGGGAUAAGCCUGGGAAACUGGGUCUAAUACCGAAUAGGACCACGGGAUGCAUGUCCUGUGGUGGAAAGCUUUUGCGGUGUGGGAUGGGCCCGCGGCCUAUCAGCUUGUUGGUGGGUGAUGGCCUACCAAGGCGACG
rnacentral:rRNA from 1 species